UCUUGACAGGUGGUUUUGUUCUGUCUCCAUGGGAACAGGUGGUACUGUAGGUCUCUCUUGACAGGUGGUUUUGUUCUGUCUCCAUGGGAACAGGUGGUACUGUAGGUCUCUCUUGACAGGUGGUUUUGUUCUGUCUCCAUGGGAACAGGUGGUACUGUAGGUCUCUCUUGACAGGUGGUUUUGUUCUGUCUCCAUGGGAACAGGUGGUACUGUAGGUCUCUCUUGACAGGUGGUUUUGUUCUGUCUCCAUGGGAACAGGUGGUACUGUAGGUCUCUCUUGACAGGUGGUUUUGUUCUGUCUCCAUGGGAACAGGUGGUACUGUAGGU